UGGAUCAAUGAUGAACAACUCUGAUAUGAGCCGUGGAUCAUGAGUACGGGCCUAAGGUUCUGAGUUCCAC